AAAAGUCGUAACAAGGUUUCCGUAGGUGAACCUGCGGAAGGAUCAUCAAUAAAAUGGAUUGAAGCUGAUUGGUGCUCCUUUUCGGGUGCCGCGGCCAGGCCUCUGUUGGUCUGAACUCUCUUCUUGAGCAGAGCUCUGAUCACAUUUUGUGCGAUGGUGGUCCCACUCCUUUGUGAGGUGGCCACCAGCCAUUGAAAAAUACAACUUUUGACAACGGAUCUCUUGGCUCUC
rnacentral:misc_RNA from 1 species